CAAUAGCGUAUAUUAAAGUUGUUGCGGUUAAAAAGCUCGUAGUUGGAUUUCUGUCUGGGGCGACCGGUCCACUUUCUGAGUGAGUAUCUGGUCCGCUUUGGGCAUCCUUCUGGGGAACUUGUUAGACUUCAUCGUCUGGCUUGGUACCCAGAACUUUUACUUUGAGGAAAUUAGAGUGUUCACUGCAGGCAAUCGCCUUGAAUACAUUAGCAUGGAAUAAUAAGAUAGGACCUGAGUUCUAUUUUGUCGGUUUCUAGAGCUUAGGUAAUGAUUAACAGGGAUAGUUGGGGGCAUUCGUAUUUAACUGUCAGAGGUGAAAUUCUUGGAUUUGUUAAAGACGAACUACUGCGAAAGCAUUUGCCAAGGAUGUUUUCAUUGAUCAAGAACGAAAGUUAGGGGAUCGAAGACGAUUAGAUACCAU
rnacentral:rRNA from 1 species